GCCUGCAGAGGGUUUCAUAGAUCCUAGUACAGAGAAGAUUCGAACAAUACCUCUCGAAAUCAUGGUUGUUGGCGACAAAGUGCCUGUCUAUGGGGAAACGUUGGAAGAACUAGGGCGAUACAAGGCUCAAACACGACUACCGUUCAAUGCAUUUGGAACAAUGGCGAUGGCUAGAGAUGAGUUUGAAGCGAAUUCUGCUUCCAGUCAAGUAUUCUGGCUUUUGAAGGAAAGUGAACUGACGCCUAGUAAUGCAAAUAUACUGGACGGUAGGUAUGCGGUAUUUGGAUAUGUUACAGAGAAUGAGGAUUUUCUAGCAGAUCUGAAGGUGGGAGAUGUAAUCGAGUCAGUGCAAGUUGUCUCAGGGCUUGAUAAUCUUGUUAAUCCUAGUUACAAGAUUGCGGGCUAGUCAUAUAAAUUGUGUAUUUG
rnacentral:misc_RNA from 1 species